rnacentral:rRNA from 1 species
UCAAUGAAAUUUUCAAUAGCCGCAAUAUAUUUGUGCCAAGGUAGCAUAAUCAUUUGUUUUUUAAUUAAAAACUAGAAUAAAAGAUUUAACAUUUUUAUUUCUUUCUUAAUUAUAAAAUACUUAACUUAUCUUAAAUAUAAAAAGAUAUUUAUUAUCCAAAAAGACGACAAGACCCUAUUGAACUUUACUAAAGUUAAACUGGGGUAGUUAAUUAAAUAUAAUUUUAAUUUCAAAAUAAAAAUUUAUCUAAUACAAUUAAAUAUAUUAAGUUACCAUAGGGAUAACAGCGUAAUAAUUUUCUAAAGAUCUUAUUUAAAAAAAUAUUUACGACCUCGAUGUUGAAUUAAUAAUCUAUUAAAUGCAAUAAUUAAUAAGAAAGUC